rnacentral:rRNA from 1 species
AACGAACGCUGGCGGCAUGCCUAACACAUGCAAGUCGAACGAGACCUUCGGGUCUAGUGGCGCGCGGGUGCGUAACACGUGGGAAUUUGCCUCGGGGUAUGGAAUAACUCAGGGAAACUUGAGCUAAUACCAUAUAAUGUCUUCGGACCAAAGAUUUAUCGCCCUGAGAUAAGCCCGCGUAGGAUUAGCUAGUUGUGGGGUAAAGGCUCACCAAGGCGACGAUCCUUAGCUGGUCUGAGAGGAUGAUCAGCCACACUGGGACUGAGACACGGCCCAGACUCCUACGGGAGGCAGCAGUGGGGAAUAUUGGACAAUGGGCGAAAGCCUGAUCCAGCAAUGCCGCGUGAGUGAUGAAGGCC